GUAUCUAUGGCCGUGGGGAGUGGAGGAGCAGGUAACGAAGGCGCUUCCGAAGCGGGAUUGGACCAAACCAGAGGGACCGAGUCUUCUGGGUCUCUCUGCCUGAGGCCCUGGAGGGAGAGAAGGCAACCCCGUGGCCAACUGGAUUCAUGCCCGCUCCACGAGGAAGAAGCGCUGCCCCUACACCAAGUACCAGACGCUGGAACUGGAGAAGGAGUUUCUUUUCAAUAUGUAUUUAACCAGGGACCGUCGGUAUGAGGUGGCCCGGGUUCUCAAUCUCACCGAGCGGCAGGUCAAAAUCUGGUUUCAGAACCGAAGGAUGAAGAUGAAAAAGAUGAAUAAAGAGAAAACCGACAAGGAGCAGUCCUAAACCCUGCCCAGCCUGCUGCCUCAGCACAGCCAAGGGAAAAACAAAAACCCCACAAAAUACCCCAACACAGGCGGGGAAGAGACGAAAAAGAAAAGGAAAGAGCAAGAUAGACAAAAGCCAAUCAGCUUAAAAAGAAAAAAAAGGAAAGGGAAAAGAAAACUCUUGCGAUUUGGGAGGGUUCAGUGUUGAGAUAUUGGUGUUUUAGAGUUAGUUC
rnacentral:sRNA from 1 species